UGAGGCAAGGUUGCCUCUCUAGCAACCCUUAGGCGGGUCGGCGCGCCGCUCUCAUAGCCCUCCGCAGGUGGCGGGAGGAACGUCGGACACGGAGAAGGCGGUGUUCGGGGAUUUGGGCUUUGCUGCUGCCGCUGCCGCUGCCAUCUGGGUUCGCUGCUGCGAUAAAAUUCCUCACUGAGACUGCCGUUUGCCUGAAGGAUCCGUCAUUGUCCAGGAGGAGACAGACCCGACUUAGAUACCUCGAGAAACGCUACCCAAAGCCUCUUAAUGAUGAAAUGAGGGCUUUCAUACAUUUCAGGUUUUGUAGAUUCCAUAUGUCUUGGGAGAAGUUGGUUUCAUCUCUGUGACGAAAAAUUAUCUUAAUGUGAAUGUAACUAGGGAAGGAGUGCAGGUGCAACCAGCAAGACAGAGUGGACCGACUGACUGCUGCGGCCAGACUGGACAGCAGACGCUUGUCGUGAAAGCUCCCGUGGAAAUGCUCCUGCCAGCUCCUCACCAACCUGCACGGGGUGGCGAUGGCAGCUCAGGCAGUUUGCAGCUUGACAGCUUUGGCCAGCACAGAUGACAGGGUGGCCUGACGUGCAUGACAAACACCUUCUGUGGAGCAUCCAAACUCCCUUUCUGUGCACAACUCAGACCUCCCUGUCUAUCUGCCAGGUGAGUCCAGCUCCCAGGGCCCAGCAGGCCCCUGCCUUUUCCCAGUAGGAGAAACUGCAAGUUUCACAGUAUUGCCCACUUGGAAUCCCUACUAGCUGGAAAUAACCAAUGUAGCUUCAGGAUGCAGCCUCCCACCCCACUCCCACCCCUGCC